CUAAUUUAGCAGAACUCUGAGCUGAAUCUUGAGGUGCUUCCGUGGUUUGGGCUCGUAGCACCACAUGAUUCAGCUUACGUUUCCGCUAACUACC